UACGGAGGAUCCAAGCGUUGUCCGGAUUUAUUGGGUUUAAAGGGUGCGUAGGCGGAUGAUUAAGUCAGUGGUGAAAGCCGGCAGCUCAACUGUCGAACUGCCAUUGAAACUGAUCGUCUUGAAUAUAGUAGAGGUAAGCGGAAUGUAUCAUGUAGCGGUGAAAUGCUUAGAUAUGAUACAGAACACCAAUUGCGAAAGCAGCUUACUAUGCUAUCAUUGACGCUGAGGCACGAAAGCGUGGGGAUCAAACAGG
rnacentral:rRNA from 1 species